rnacentral:rRNA from 1 species
UUUGGGAUUAGCAUCCUGUCACCAGGUAGCUGCCUUCUGUACCCCCCAUUGUAACACGUGUGUAGCCCCGGACGUAAGGGCCGUGCUGAUUUGACGUCAUCCCCACCUUCCUCACAUCUUACGACGGCAGUCUCUCUAGAGUCCUCAGCAUGACCUGUUAGUAACUAAAGAUAAGGGUUGCGCUCGUUAUGGCACUUAAGCCGACACCUCACGGCACGAGCUGACGACAACCAUGCAGCACCUUCACAUUUGUCUUACGACUAUACUGUUUCCAAUAUAUUCAAAUGCAAUUUAAGCCCGGGUAAGGUUCCUCGCGUAUCAUCGAAUUAAACCACAUGUUCCUCCGCUUGUGCGGGCCCCCGUCAAUUCCUUUGAGUUUCACCGUUGCCGGCGUACUCCCCAGGUGGAAUACUUAAUGCUUUCCGCUUGGCCGCUUACUGUAUAUCGCAAACAGCGAGUAUUCAUCGUUUACUGUGUGGACUACCAGGGUAUCUAAUCCUGUUUGAUACCCACACUUUCGAGCAUCAGUGUCAGUUGCAGUCCAGUGAGCUGCCUUCGCAAUCGGAGUUCUUCGUGAUAUCUAAGCAUUUCACCGCUACACCACGAAUUCCGCCCACCUCUACUGUACUCAAGACAGCCAGUAUCAACUGCNAAUUUUACGGUUGAGCCGCAAACUUUCACAACUGACUUAACUGUCCACCUACGCUCCCUUUAAACCCAAUAAAUCCGGAUAACGCUCGGAUCCUCCGUAUUACCGCGGCUGCUGGCACGGAGUUAGCCGAUCCUUAUUCAUAUGGUACAUACAAAAUUCCACACGUGGAAAACUUUAUUCCCAUAUAAAAGAAGUUUACAACCCAUAGGGCAGUCAUCCUUCACGCUACUUGGCUGGUUCAGACUCUCGUCCAUUGACCAAUAUUCCUCACUGCUGCCUCCCGUAGGAGUUUGGACCGUGUCUCAGUUCCAAUGUGGGGGACCUUCCUCUCAGAACCCCUAUCCAUCGAAGGUUUGGUGAGCCGUUACCUCACCAACUGCCUAAUGGAACGCAUCCCCAUCGAUAACCGAAAUUCUUUAAUAA